CCUAGUUGAUCCCGCUAGUAGUCAUAUGCUUGUCUCAAAGAUUAAGCCAUGCAUGUGUAAGUAUGAACUAAUUCAGACUGUGAAACUGCGAAUGGCUCAUUAAAUCAGUUAUAGUUGUUUGAUGGUAUUUGCUACUCGGAUAACCGUAGUAAUUCUAGAGAUAAUACGUGCAACAAACCCCGACUCUUGGAAGGGAUGCAUUUAUUAGAUAAAAGGUCGACGCGGGCUUUGCCGUUGCUCUGAUGAUUCAUGAUAACUUGACGGAUCGCACGGCCAUCGUGUCGGCGACGUAUCAUUCAAAUUUCUGCCCUAUCAACUUUUGAUGGUAGGAUAGUGGCCUACUAUGGCGGUGACGGGUGACGGAGAAUUAGGGUUCGAUUUCGGAGAGGGAGCCUGAGAAACGGCUACCACAUCCAAGGAAGCAGCAGGCACGCAAAUUAUCCAAUCCUGACACGGGAGGUAGUGACAAUAAUAACAAUACCGGGCUCUUUGAGUCUGGUAAUUGGAAUGAGUACAAUCUAAAUCCCUUAACGAAUCCAUUGGAGGGUAAGUCUGGUGCCAGCAGCCGCGGUAAUUCCAGCUCCAAUAGCGUAUAUUUAAGUUGUUGCAGUUAAAAAGCUCGUAGUUCGUAGUUGGACCUUGGUUGGGUCGGCCGGUCCACCUCGCGGUGUGCACUGAUUGGCUCGUCCCUUCUACCGGCGAUACGUUCCUGCCUUAACUGGCCGGGUUGUGCCUCCAGUGCUGUUACUUUAAAGAAAUUAGAGUGCUCAAAGCAAGCCUACGCUCUGUAUACAUUAGCAUGGGAUAACAUCAUAGGAUUUCGGUCCUAUUGUAUUGGCCUUCGGGAUCGGAGUAAUGAUUAACAGGACAGUCGGGGGCAUUGUAUUUCAUAGUCAGAGGUGAAAUUCUUGGAUUUAUGAAAGACGAACAACUGCAAAAGCAUUUGCCAAGGAUGUUUUCAUUAAUAAAGAACGAAAGUUGGGGCUCGAAGACGAUCAGAUACCGUCCUAGCCUCAACCAUAAACGAUGCUAACUAGGGAUCGGCGGAUGUUACUUUUAGGACUCUGCCGGCACCUUAUGAGAAAUCAAAGUUUUGGGUUCGGGGGAGUAUGGUCGCAAGGCUGAAACUUAAAGGAAUUGACGGAAGGCACCAUCAGGAGUGGAGCCUGCGGCUUAAUUUGACUCAACACGGGGAAACUUACCAGAUCCAGACAUAGUAAGGAUUGACAGACUGAGAGCUCUUUCUUGAUUCUAUGGGUGGUGGUGCAUGGCCGUUCUUAGUUGGUGGAGCGAUUUGUCUGGUUAAUUCCGAUAAUGAACGAGACCUCAGCCUGCUAACUAGCUAUGUAGAUGUACAUCUCCAUGUCCAGCUUCUUAGAGGACUAUGGCCGAAGUCACGUCAUGGCGAUCGAGCCAAGGUCACGUCAAGGUUGCACGACUUUACAGGCGUUUUUGAGGGGCGAGGGUGGGCAAACCGCCUACAGCGUUUGUCAAUGCAUUCGUCUCGAAAAGUUAUGCGAAAUCAAAGAAAAAUUCGUCCGAAACGGAUGCUUGAGCAAUGAGAUAUGCCCUUCCGAAGUCGGCGAGCGGGUGACGAACCUCAAGCUCGACUGGGCGAUCGGAUUGAUUUGGAUUUGGGAUUUGAGAGGGAGAGGACGAAUCGAAGCGACAAUGGCUGAACCUCAGUGGAUCGUGGCAG
rnacentral:rRNA from 1 species